rnacentral:tRNA from 1 species
UGGCUCAGUUGGUAGAGCAUGGUACUCGCAACACUAGGGUUGUUGGUUCAAAUCCCAC